rnacentral:rRNA from 1 species
GUGCACCAGGCGCGAAACCUUCGCAAUGCGGGAAACCGCGACGAGGGGACUCCCAGUGCCUACGCUCAGCGUAGGCUGUUCCCGAGCCUAGAAAGCUCGGGGAGUAAGGGCUGGGUAGGACGGGUGCCAGCCGCCGCGGUAAUACCCGCAGCCCGAGUGGUGGCCACUAUUAUUGGGCCUAAAGCGUCCGUAGCCGGCCCGGUAAAUGCCUGGGUAAAUCGUGAGGCCUAACCUCACGAAUUCCGGGUAGACUGCCGGGCUAGGGACCGGAGGAGGGAGAGGGUACUCCAGGGGUAGGGGUGAAAUCCUGUAAUCCCUGGAGGACCACCGGUGGCGAAGGCGCUCUCCUAGGACGGGUCCGACGGUGAGGGACGAAAGCCAGGGGAGCGAACCGGAUUAGAUACCCCCGUAGU